rnacentral:rRNA from 1 species
UUGAAAGGGAAACGAUUGAAGUCAGUCGUACCGACGGAGAAUCAACUUUUUGGAGUGAGAGUCGAGGUAUUCGAGGAGUUUAAAAGCCCUUGCGUGUUUUCGUACUCUGCUUCUUGGGUGCACUUCUUCGUAUUGGUAGGUUAACAUCAAUUUUGGACGUUACAAAAUGAUCGGGGGAAUGUAGCUUCGAUUUUUCGAAGUGUUAUAGACCUUGGUAGAUGUGACGACCGGGAUUGAGGAUUGCAACGAAUGCUUUCGGGCUAUCCGUCUGACCUCUGGUGGUUGCUUUGGGGUCGAAAGCGUGCUUACGACUUCAAAGUUGGCUAUCAAAAGGCUAGAACGUGAUUAAAUUCGUUAAGGAUGUUGACGUA